rnacentral:rRNA from 1 species
AGACCGAUAGCGAACAAGUAGAGUGAUCGAAAGAUGAAAAGCACUUUGAAAAGAGAGUUAAACAGCACGUGAAAUUGUUGAAAGGGAAGCGCUUGCAACCAGACUCGCUCGCGGGGUUCAGCCGGGCUUCGGCCCGGUGUACUUCCCCGCGGGCGGGCCAGCGUCGGUUUGGGCGGCCGGUCAAAGGCCUCCGGAAUGUAGCGCCCUUCGGGGCGCCUUAUAGCCGGGGGUGCAAUGCGGCCAGCCUGGACCGAGGAACGCGCUUCGGCACGGACGCUGGCAUAAUGGUUGUAAACGACCCGUCUUGAAACACGGACCAAG